GCGCUUCACUAUGGCGACGGUGGGGGCUCCGCGGCGCUUCUGCCGCUGCGCCUGCUUCUGCACCGAUAACUUGUACGUGGCGCGCUAUGGGCUGCACGUGCGCUUUCGAGGCGAGCAGCAGCUGCGCCGGGACUACGGCCCGCUUGAGCAGGAGGUGGAGCGGCGGCGGCGGCUGGGGCAGGAGUCAGCAGCUAGGAAAGCCCUCAUCGCGAGUUCCUACCACCCGGCACGGCCUGAGGUCUACGACUCACUGCAGGAUGCAGCUCUGGCUCCCGAGUUCCUGGCCGUGACUGAGUACAGCGUGUCCCCAGGCGCAGACCUCAAGGGCCUUCUCCAGCGGCUGGAGACAGUAUCGGGUGAGGUCCUGGCCCUGAGACCUGGCAGGACCAGGGAAUGGCAGCCUGGGAAACCUGGGUGUGGGAUGCUGGGGUCCCUCCAGCCACCAUCUCUGCCUCCAAAAACCAAACCAGCAGGAGCUGGAAGGGUCAGUGGGACCAACCUGCCAGGAGCAGGACAUCCGCAUUCAUUCAUUCAAUACCUGCCAUGAGCCUGGUAUCUUCAUUCUUUCCUUCACCCUUCCUUCGUGCCCUCAUCCAGCAAAUAGUGGAUAUUUGUGUCAUGUGUGGGACAGCUGGCACACUCAAACAGGGCUGAUCCAAGAUCUUAAAGGGACCAUUGAGACAGGUAUGGGCAGGAUAAAGGGACCAGUAAGGAAUGGCAAAGCCCGGCCCCCCAGGGCUGGCAACAGGAGGGAGCAGUUACCACCUGGAGUUGUGGCUCUGGGCGGAGGCCUGCAGCCAUGCCAAACUCCAAGUAGGGCAAGAAAUGCCCCACUUCUCUUCAGAUUUCCUGCUGGGCUCACUUAUUGGCUAAACCCAGCAGGAAAUGCUGGGCAAGGGAGGUUUGCGUGUUGUUUAACCUCUGAUUCAGUUUCCUUAUCUGUAAAAUGGGAGCAACAGUAACCCCCUCUCUUAAGGCACUGUGACGAUCAAGUGAGUUAAUCUGCAUAGAGUGCCUGUCACAGGGCCCGCACGUAGUG
rnacentral:sRNA from 1 species